rnacentral:rRNA from 1 species
AUAUGCUACCGAUUAUGGAUGGGCCCGCGUCCCAUUAGUUAGUUGGCGGGGUAACGGCCCACCAAGACGAUGAUGCGUAGCCGACCUGAGAGGGUGACCGGCCACACUGGGACUGAGACACGGCCCAGACUCCUACGGGAGGCAGCAGUAGGGAAUUUUCGGCAAUGGGCGCAAGCCUGACCGAGCAACGCCGCGUGAGUGAAGAAGGCCUUCGGGUUGUAAAGCUCUGUUGUAAGGGAAGAAUGGCCAAGAGAGGGAAUGCUCUUGGAGUGACGGUACCUUACCAGAAAGCCACGGCUAACUACGUGCCAGCAGCCGCGGUAAUACGUAGGUGGCAAGCGUUAUCCGGAAUUAUUGGGCGUAAAGGGAGCGUAGGCGGUUUGAUAAGUCUGAGGUGAAAGUUCGGGGCUCAACUCCGGAUUGCCUUAGAAACUGUCAGACUAGAGUGCAGGAGAGGGCAAUGGAAUUCCAUGUGUAGCGGUAAAAUGCGUAGAUAUAUGGAGGAACACCAGUGGCGAAGGCGGUUGCCUGGCCUGUAACUGACGCUGAGGCACGAAAGCGUGGGGAGCAAAUAGGAUUAGAUACCCUAGUAGUCCACGCUGUAAACGAUGAAUACUAAGUGUUGGAGAAAUUCAGUGCUGCAGUUAACGCAAUAAGUAUUCCGCCUGGGGAGUAUGCACGCAAGUGUGAAACUCAAAGGAAUUGACGGGACCCCGCACAAGCGGUGGAUUAUGUUGUUUAAUUCGACGCAACGCGAAGAACCUUACCAGGCCUUGACAUACUCGGCAAAGCUCUAGAGAUAGAGUGGAGGUUAUCCGGGAUACAGGUGGUGCAUGGUUGUCGUCAGCUCGUGUCGUGAGAUGUUGGGUUAAGUCCCGCAACGAGCGCAACCCUUGUCUUUAGUUGCCAGCACAUAAUUGGGCACUCUAGAGGGACUGCCGGUGACAAACCGGAGGAAGGUGGGGAUGACGUCAAAUCAUCAUGCCCCUUAUGAUCUGGGCUACACACGUGCUACAAUGGCCGGUACAACGAGAAGCGAAACCGCGAGGUGAAGCAAAUCUUUUAAAGCCGGUCCCAGUUCGGAUUGCAGGCUGAAACUCGCCUGCAUGAAGUUGGAGUUGCUAGUAAUCGCGGAUCAGCAUGCCGUGGUGAAUGCGUUCCCGG